rnacentral:tRNA from 1 species
UGGUGUAGCUCAGGGAUAGAGUAUGUGCUUAGCAUUCACAGGCCCUGGGUUCAAUCCCCAGCACUA